GACGAACGCUGGCGGCGUGCUUAACACAUGCAAGUCGAACGGAAAGGCCCUGCUUUUGUGGGGUGCUCGAGUGGCGAACGGGUGAGUAACACGUGAGUAACCUGCCCUUGACUUUGGUAUAACUUCAGGAAACUGGGGCUAAUACCGGAUAGGAGCUCCUGCUGCAUGGUGGGGGUUGGAACGUUUCGGCGGUUGGGGAUGGACUCGCGGCUUAUCAGCUUGUUGGUGGGGUAGUGGCUUACCAAGGCUUUGACGGGUAGCCGGCCUGAGAGGGUGACCGGCCACAAUGGGACUGAGAUACGGCCCAGACUCCUACGGGAGGCAGCAGUGGGGAAUAUUGCACAAUGGGCGGAAGCCUGAUGCAGCAACGCCGCGUGCGGGAUGACGGCCUUCGGGUUGUAAACCGCUUUCGCCUGUGACGAAGCGUGAGUGACGGUAAUGGGUAAAGAAGCACCGGCUAACUACGUG
rnacentral:rRNA from 1 species